rnacentral:rRNA from 1 species
CCUACGGGCGGCAGCAGUAGGGAAUAUUGCUCAAUGGGGGAAACCCUGAAGCAGCAACGCCGCGUGGAGGAUGAAGGUUUUCGGAUUGUAAACUCCUUUUGUUAGAGAAGAUAAUGACGGUAUCUAACGAAUAAGCACCGGCUAACUCCGUGCCAGCAGCCGCGGUAAUACGGAGGGUGCACGCCUUACUCGGAAUCACUGGGGGUAAAGGGCGCGUAGGCGGGAUAGCAAGGCAGAUGUGAAAUCCUAUGGGUUAACCCUAGAACUGCAGUUGAAACUGUUAAUCUAGAGUAUGGGAGAGGUAGGUGGAAUUCUUGGUGUAGGGGUAAAAUCCGUAGAGAUCAAGAGGAAUACUCAUUGCGAAGGCGACCUGCUAGAACAUAACUGACGCUGAGGCGCGAAAGCGUGGGGAGCAAACAGGAUUAGAUACCCGAGUAGUC